AGAGUUUGAUCAUGGCUCAGGAUGAACGCUGGCGGCGUGCCUAAUACAUGCAAGUCGAACGGGAGACCUGGUUUCGACCGGGUUGAGAGUGGCGCACGGGUGAGGAACACAUGGCUGACUUGCCCUUCAGAGGGGGAUAACGGCUGGAAACGGCUGCUAAUACCCCAUACGCUCCUUGGGAUUAGAGGCCUGAGGAGGAAAGCCUUCGGGUGCUGAAGGAGGGGGCUGUGGCCCAUCAGCUUGUUGGUAGGGUAACGGCCUACCAAGGCGACGACGGGUAGGGGGCCUGAGAGGGUGACCCCCCACACUGGGACUGAGACACGGCCCAGACUCCUACGGGAGGCAGCAGUAAGGGAUCUUGCGACAAUGGGCGAAAGCCUGACGCAGCAACGCCGCGUGCGGGAGGACGGCCUUCGGGUUGUAAACCGCUUUUCGGGGGGAAGAGGAAGGACGGUACCCCCGGAAGAAGUCUCGGCUAACUACGUGCCAGCAGCCGCGGUAAAACGUAGGAGGCGAGCGUUAUCCGGAUUUACUGGGUGUAAAGCGCGUGUAGGCGGUCCUGCAAGUGGUGCGUGAAAGCGCCCGGCUCAACCGGGCGAGGACGUGGGCGAACUGCAGGGCUAGAGGCAGGUAGAGGCGUGUGGAAUUCCGGGUGUAGUGGUGAAAUGCGUAGAGAUCCGGAGGAACACCGGUGGCGAAGGCGACACGCUGGGCCUGGCCUGACGCUGAGAGGCGAAAGCAUGGGGAGCGAACGGGAUUAGAAACCCCGGUAGUCCAUGCCGUAAACGAUGCUGACUAGGUGUGGCGGGUAUGAACUCCUGCCGUGCCGGAGCCAACGUGGUAAGUCAGCCACCUGGGGACUACGGCCGCAAGGUUAAAACUCAAAUGAAUUGACGG
rnacentral:rRNA from 1 species